AGAUUGAACGCUGGCGGCAUGCCUAACACAUGCAAGUCGAACGGGAGUAGCAAUACUCUAGUGGCGGACGGGUGAGGAAUACGUAGGAAUUUGCCCUUAAGUGGGGGAUAACCCGGGGAAACCCGGAUUAAUACCGCAUGACCUCGAAAGAGCAAAGUGGGGGAUCGCAAGACCUCACGCUUUUGGAGAAGCCUACGUCGGAUUAGCUAGUUGGUGAGGUAAUGGCUCACCAAGGCGACGAUCCGUAACUGGUCUGAGAGGAUGAUCAGUCACACCGGAACUGAGACACGGUCCGGACUCCUACGGAGGCAGCAGUGGGGAAUAUUGGACAAUGGGGCGCAAGGCC
rnacentral:rRNA from 1 species